CGCCCUUGAGUUUGAUCAUGGCUCAGGACGAACGCUAGCGGCGCGCCUAAGGUAUGCAAGUCGAACGGACCCGCAAGGGUUAGUGGCGAACGGUCCAGUAACACGUAGACAACCUGCCUUCGCAGUGGGGGAUAACAGUCCGAAAGGGCUGCUAAUACCGCAUGUGGCCGGGAAGUGAUGCUUCCUGUGCUAAAGGAGCAAUUCGCUGGGAGAUGGGUCUGCGGCCUAUCAGGUAGUUGGUGGGGUAACGGCCUACCAAGCCGACGACGGGUAGCUGGUCUGAGAGGAUGAUCAGCCGGACGGGGACUGAGACACGGUCCCGACUCCUUCGGGAGGCAGCAAUGAGGAAUCUUGCACAAUGGGGGCAACCCUGAUGCAGCGACGCCGCGUGGGUUUUUUUUUUCUUCGGAAUGUAAAGCCCUUUUACCGGGGACGAUACCAGACGGUACCCGGUGAAUAAGCCCCGGCUAACUACGUGCCAGCAGCCGCGG
rnacentral:rRNA from 1 species